UUUUACCAAAAUGACUGUGAAUUUUGCUUUGUCCAUUCCCAGUUAGCUUGUUGUAGUUGGUAAGUCUUGUCUGGUUGUGUUUUGACAACUACACUUUCUUGGCAAAUUUAGAAGAUGCAGUUGUUUUGAAUUACACUGAAACAUUUCCACUUGUCCUGGAAGCGGUCGCCCUCACGGACAACUUUUCCUUUUGCUUUUAUUUCCAGUUGACAUUUCAGAAGCGAACUAGAAAGUGUCACAGAAGAGUCGCACAAAAGUGUUGCCACACGUUUACAGUUAGUAAAAAUGUAAUUUAGCCGACUGCAAUCAAAGAAAAUCGUACACAGUUUGUGGAGGUGCUUGGGGGGGGACGGCUUGACAUGCUUGACUUAAGUGAAUCAACCAAGCUGAAGGGUGAGGGGGGGUUAUGCUAAACUGACAGAGACUUUUCAGAAGAAGAAUCUGGAAACACAGGUCUCUCCUGUCUUUUUAUUUUUUUCAGGUUUCUGGCACCAAAGUGAUUUGUGAUCUGGUCAUUUUUGGGGGGUAAAACACUAUAAAUCGACACAGUGAUGAAGUGAUGAAGGCUCCUUCUGCUUGAUCUAUUUAAUACUGCUGGAGUGGGUGAUGCUGAUCCAAACACCUUCACUCUUUCUCCCACCUUUCCUUGUCUGUAGGUGCCGUCCCAGCUGUUUUCUGUUCCGGUGGGUUGCUUGCCUCCAUCUGUCGGAGGCAGAUGUUUCCUCACAGAUCUGAAAUGAGGAUGCAUCAGGCGGCAGCAGGACGGAGUUCAACUCAUGGACUUUCAGUCCACUCAUCUGUAAUCUGGAACGUCACCGUUGCACUGAUUAAUAAGGAAUCAGAAAACUGCAAUUGCUUGUGUCUCAAAGAUCUAAGAUCAAAUAUUCAGAGCGUUCCCAGUAGACUUUUAGUCAUGAAAAUGCCCUUUUUAGGCCAAAUCAAAAAAGCGUGUGUCGUUUUCUAGGACGUAGUUUCUGCAGAGCAGCUGGAGUUCAUUAGAAAUACAUCUUUGAGUUGUGGGCGGAGUUGAGGAAAACAAAAGAUAAAUGUGGAUCUUUUAGUCUACAAGUGGUGCAUUGGAAUGGAGCAAAGCAGGGAGUUUGUGGCCCCCGCCCAGCAACGACAUUUCUAUGCAUCAAAUACAAUCUUUAUCUCACAGCAUUUUUUUCAUCUGCUCCUGAUUCACAGCUGUAAAGUGGCCAGUAAGUAUAUAUAUUUCAAGAUUUUUGUUGUUUCUUUAUUCAUUAAAUUAAAUUGGAUGAAGAGAAAAUUCCAGCAGAGACGGAGGAGGAAAUGGAAACAUUUAAAUCAUUACAUUAAAGUUUGCAACAUACGUUUGUUUUCAAAUUGUUUUGACUUUGUUUUGAACUUCAAGGCUUAUUGUUAUUCACUUAUGUGUUCAAGUUAUUUCUUUAUUUCUAGUUAAGUCCGUUCUGGAUCUUCAAGGAUGUCUUCCUGACUCCCCCUAUAGGUGGAGGUCAAUAGUCUCAAAGGAAAGUGGGCCGCCCCGUGCUGAAGAAAUCUGGAAUUCAAUUCUUGAACAUUUUCCUCUAAAGUACAAACUUCAAAGAUGUUUGAUUUCUGAUUUUUCUAAUGAGAGAUGGAGGGCGCCGCUGCCCAGCUCAUGCGACGUCCUGAAGAGCAGGAUGUGAAAAGAGGCAGAGGAAACAGAUGCAGACGGAGGACAGGAGGGUGGAGGAGAGACGUGGAGGAGCUGGAGCUGUUUUGCAUGAGUGGGAUCAGUCAGGAGGGUAAAUGUGUGGCGUUUGAGGCGAUGACUGGUGUUCUGGAAAAUGAUGAGCAUGUGUGGCUCCCAAAAGGAGGCAUGUGAGCUGGAUGAGAUCCUCAAACUAACCACCACUUACUGGGUCACCGAUCACACAGCUGAUGAGCCCACAGCUGGAGCCAGAGCUCCUCCUGGUGGACAGGAUGGUGUACUGCAGCAGUCAGAUUGGCUUCUCUCCUGGAGAAAUGAGGGUGUUGGAAAUGAAAAGUAAAAAAUUAGAAGUUAUUUAUUUUAGGAUAGGAAAGAUACUCCAACGCUUUGACUUCAUGUGCUUCUAUCUCAGAUAUUCUCAGUUCAAUAAGAGGAAAUAAAGUCAAAUAACUGUAAAUGGAGAGUUUUUAAGGUAGUUUUUAAUUCAGUAUUCCAAUCCAGGUUUAUACAUGGAUAAAAUUGUCAUUUUGGUUAUUAAGUGAACCAACUCCAAGGUUAAACAGGUACUUUUUUAUAGGUUAUUUUAAUUCAAGAAAAAUAACCACACACCGAUAAAUUAGAUUAAAAUGAAACCAUAACCCCAAAACAUAAUUCUCCAAAAAGUAAGCCAAAAAAAUAUCCCAAGAUAAAUAACUCAAGAAUUCGGUUGAAUAAAUAAAAAACAAGAUUCACUAAUAAGAAAAAAGUGGUUUAAGAGUGUGUUUUCUGCCAUGUUUAGCCUUUUCCAGCAUGAUUCAACCAAAUCCAUAAAACGUUUAGGUCCGUUUUAGUGGAACUGCUGCAGUACUGAAGUCCUCAUUCCCUCUCUAGGUCAGGAGGAGAUGUCAAAGGAGCAGGAAGAACGAGACAUCGCUUAAAUAAGUCUUAAGGAUAAGGGAAACACAAAGGGAGUAAUAGUCUGAUUUAUGACUGCCGUCUGUCUGAGGGGAAAAACAAAAGAUUUGACCCCUCUAACAUCAAAACCUUUUUAAGUACAUUUUUUACAAAUAAACCUCAAGCCUGAUGAAAAGUUUAUGAAAUAAAAUGUAUUUUUUAUGGUUUUUCAAAAUAAGAAAAAUAACAAAAGGUGCUCAAUUCAGCACAAAUUGAAAAAAAAUGAAAUGUGAUUUACCCCAUCGAGGAAUGUUCCAUCUGGAGAUAAAUCUCAGUGAACGAGCUUUGUCAAAUCUGUCUUUUUUCUUUUGAUAUCAAUUUUAGCAUCAAAAGGAUUCAAAAACAAACGCAGAUGCUAAACUGAUAUCGUGGAAAAUUGGGACCCACGUUACUUUAACGGGCAAAAUUAUAUUUUCUUCAGUCAGUUUAUUUUAUUAUGUAUCAGUACACAGAAACACCAUAAAUGAGCUCCGUAAACUGAGGCUCAUGCUGUCGGAGCAGCAGUUUUCACAUAAGAAAUCGGCCUUACAGCUCCCUCUGCUGGUGAUAGGAAGCAUCGUUGCAAAGUUGGGAGGUAUGAGCAGUGAGUGAGGAGCAAAAGAGUGUUCUCUUGAACUUAAUAAAGUUCCUGUAUUCGGCUUUUUCCACAAAUAGCUUUUUAUUUAAAAAAACAAAAUCAAUCGUAAUGAGUUGGAUUACAGAAAAACGAGAAAAUCUCAUUCUGUGAUUGCUUGCUUUUUUCUUAAAUGCUCUGAGAGAAAUUUGGCUUAUUGUUUUUGCAUUUUAGAAUCGUUCCUAGUCAUAAAAAAUCAAAUAUUUGAUUAACCUGAGAGAUGUUUAAUGGUUUCUUCUUAUCUGGAACAUCAGAAUGACUCAAAGCUGUUGGCUUUAUGUAAAAGAUCCAUCCAGGUCCAGAACACAGACAUUCGCUCACUGGACUCUCAGAAAUCAAGACCCUGAAAAUAAAGGUUGCAUUGAGACGGACUUUACUUUAACUAAAAGAAUUCCAAAAAAAAUGGACAAAAGGGAAACUUUAGGGUCAAGCAUUCUGCCUGUAAAAAAAUAAAAAAACUUGCCCUUAAAUAUGCCAGAAUUUAAUAUCUAAUAAAACCAUAACAGUUGAAUUUUAACCGCCUCCAACACUUGUCAUGAAAGAAUUGUUAACAAACGACGCAUGAUAGUUUUCUCAGAUAUAAAUUCAAAUUUUUUUAGCAAAAUAAAUAAGAAAAUUAUGCCCAAAGAUGGCUUGGUACUUUUAUGUCCAGGGCAAAAAGACGAUUUACUCCAGACUUAAUUUUUUUUGUUUUAUUACAUGCUGACUUCUAUUAAACUAAUUAAGGUCUGGAUUUUUAAUAAAAAAGUAGAAAAAACUCCAUAAAUUUUGCUCUUUUGUUCUUUAAAAACUGUUUAAGAGAAGCUUAAUUUAAAACAUGUAGAGGGUUGGGGGAUUUUUUUUUGUCCUGUUUAAUUUAAAUAAAAUAUAGUUUAGGACUGUGAAUUAGCUGCAGAAAAACCUAAUUUGUAUUUAUAAAAAGCUUUUCUUUAUAGAGGAUAAAAGAAACGACCUGUGAGUGGAAACAUUUAUUCAAGAGACUUAGUUUGCUGCUGUGUAAUUUUAAUGCAACCCAUAGUGUGUUUUUGUGUCUUUUUUUUUGCAUGUUUACCAGUCGACUGUAUUUGAUUUGGUCAUUCUUAACAAUAUUCAGAGGAAAUGACUCCAGAACUUUGAAACGAUUUUUCCUUGUUUUUUUCUUCUUCAAAACAAUAAAAAUCCAAAAAUCAAAGGGAAGACAGAGAAGUCGCCCUGCAGGCAGCCGUGUUCUCACUUUGUUUCCACGACUUUGAUUUCCAGCUUGCACUUCUGAUCUUCCUCCGAGGCAGCGUGUUGUUCGCAACAAGCAGAUGGAUAAAGUGAAGAAAGACGUCUGCAGCCGGCACCAACACAGCCUCCAGUCAUUCUGUUUGAACCAUCGUUCAGCCGCGAGAACCAUCAUUAGGAAAAAUCAGAAACAUGUCUGAUACCUGACAGUUUCACGUUUGGACCAGAGGCGUUGCUCUGAAACAGUUUGUGGACUUUUUCCUUUAAAUGUUUUCAAAAACCUGAUUAUUUGUGCAGUUUAUUAGACUUCAUCUUGAUACUGCAGUGUAUGUGUUUAACACCUGACAUAUAUCUGGAAAAAUGUGCAAAAUAAACGGUAUGUCACUA